CCUACGGGUGGCAGCAGUAGGGAAUAUUGCUCAAUGGGGGAAACCCUGAAGCAGCAACGCCGCGUGGAGGAUGAAGGUUUUCGGAUUGUAAACUCCUUUUGUUAGAGAAGAUAAUGACGGUAUCUAACGAAUAAGCACCGGCUAACUCCGUGCCAGCAGCCGCGGUAAUACGGAGGGUGCAAGCGUUACUCGGAAUCACUGGGCGUAAAGGGCGCGUAGGCGGGAUAGCAAGUCAGAUGUGAAAUCCUAUGGCUUAACCAUAGAACUGCAUUUGAAACUGUUAUUCUAGAGUUUAGGUGAGGUAGGUGGAAUUCUUGGUGUAGGGGUAAAAUCCGUAGAGAUCAAGAAGAAUACUGAUUGCGAAGGCGACCUGCUAGAACAUAACUGACGCUGAUGCGCGAAAGCGUGGGGAGCAAACAGGAUUAGAUACCCGAGUAGUC
rnacentral:rRNA from 1 species